GGAGGACCCUAGGGAUCGCAAGACCUUGCGCUCAUUGAGCGGCCGACGCCUGAUUAGCUAGUUGGUGAGAUAAAGGCUUACCAAGGCGACGAUCAGUAGCUGGUCUGAGAGGACGACCAGCCACACUGGGACUGAGACACGGCCCAGACUCCUACGGGAGGCAGCAGUGGGGAAUUUUGGACAAUGGGGGAAACCCUGAUCCAGCCAUGCCGCGUGAGUGAAGAAGGCCUUCGGGUUGUAAAGCUCUUUCAGCCGGAACGAAACGGUCACGGCUAAUACCUGUGACUACUGACGGUACCGGAAGAAGAAGCACCGGCUAACUACGUGCCAGCAGCCGCGGUAAUACGUAGGGUGCGAGCGUUAAUCGGAAUUACUGGGCGUAAAGCGUGCGCAGGCGGUUUUGUAAGUCAGAUGUGAAAUCCCCGGGCUUAACCUGGGAACUGCGUUUGAAACUACAAAGCUAGAAGGG
rnacentral:rRNA from 1 species